AGCGAACGCUGGCGGCAGGCCUAACACAUGCAAGUCGAACGAACCCUCCGUGGGUACUUGCGGAUGGGGGAGGAACACGGGGGAAGGUGCAGGUAUGCACGGAAUAACUCAUUUAAACUGGGGCUAAUACCGAAUGUGCCCUUCUGGGGAAAGAUUUAUCGUCUUUAGGGCGGCAGGCGUCCGUUUAGCUAGUUGGUUGUGGUAAUGGCGCACCAAGGCUACGAACAGUAGCUGGUCUGAGAGGAUGAUCAGACACAUCGGCACUGAGACGCGGCCCAGAAUCCUACGCGAUGGAGCAGUGGGUAAUCUAGCGAAACGGGCUAAAGCAUGACGCAGCCAUGCCGCGUGAAUGAUGUAGGUGUUAGGAAUGUAAAAUUCUUUCACCGGGGACGAUAAUGACGGUACCCGGAGAAGAAGCCCCGGCUAACUUCGUG
rnacentral:rRNA from 1 species